rnacentral:rRNA from 1 species
UGGGGAAUAUUGGACAAUGGGCGCAAGCCUGAUCCAGCCAUGCCGCGUGUGUGAAGAAGGCCUUUUGGUUGUAAAGCACUUUAAGCGAGGAGGAGGCUACUUGGACUAAUACUCUAGGAUAGUGGACGUUACUCGCAGAAUAAGCACUGGCUAACUCUGUGCCAGCAGCCGCGGUAAUACAGAGGGUGCGAGCGUUAAUCGGAUUUACUGGGCGUAAAGCGUGCGUAGGCGGCUUCUUAAGUCGGAUGUGAAAUCCCUGAGCUUAACUUAGGAAUUGCAUUCGAUACUGGGAAGCUAGAGUAUGGGAGAGGAUGGUAGAAUUCCAGGUGUAGCGGUGAAAUGCGUAGAGAUCUGGAGGAAUACCGAUGGCGAAGGCAGCCAUCUGGCCUAAUACUGACGCUGAGGUAAGAAAGCAUGGGGAGCAAACAGG